rnacentral:tRNA from 1 species
GGGUUGUUAGCUCAGUUGGUAGAGCAACGGACUCUUAAUCCGUGGGUCGCAGGUUCGAUCCCUGCACAGCCUACCA